CAGGGAAGUGUGACCUUUGAGGAUGUGGCCCUGUAUUUCUCCUGGGAGGAAUGGGCUCUCCUUGAUGAGGCUCAGAGAUGCCUGUACCACGAUGUGAUGCUGGAGAAUUUUGCACUUACAUCUUCAUUGGUAUACGGGCCUCUCACUGUUGUGGCCUCUCCCAUUGUGGAGCACAGGCUCCGGAUGCGCAGGCUCAGCGGCCAUGGCUCAUGGGCCCAGCCACUCUGCGGCAUGUGGGAUCUUUCCAGACCGUGGUAUGAACCUGUGUCUCCUGCAUCAGCAGAUGGACUCCCAACCACUGCACCACCAGGGAAGCCCUAUUCAUAUAUUCUUAAAUCUUGACUUUGAAUAAUAUACUGAAGUCCUGGUUUGUAGUAUUUUCCAGUUCGCCUGAUACAAAUACUUCCACCACGGACAAUUUCAAACUAGGAAACCAACGAAACAAUGAUUGUUAAUCAGCAAGAACUUGCCCACCCUUCUUUGGGACCCACACUUGACCAACCUAACUUAAAAGCUGAGUCUUAAUGCAGGCAGACAUCUCCAAUGAAGACUGUAAAAUGGCACUAUGAAAUCAUUAUGAUUUUAAUUGCAUUUCUCUCAGGAUACUUUUUCUUUUAAAAUUAAUUAAUUAAUUUUUUGGCUGCGUUGGUCUUCCAUUGCUGUGCCCGGGCUUUCUCUAGUUGCGGCGAGCAGGGUCUACUCUUUGUUGUAGUGUGCGGGCUUAUUAUUGUGGUGGCUUCUCUUGUUGUGGAGUGCGGGCUAUAGGCAUGUGGGCUUCAGUAGUUGUGGCACGCAGGCUGUAGGGUGCAGGCUCAGUAGUUGUGGUGCACAGGUUUAGUUGCUCUGCUGCAUGUGGGAUCUUCCCAGACCAGGGCUCGGACCCGUGUCCCUGCAUUGGCAGGUGGAUUCUUAACCACUGCACCACCAGGGAAGCCCCAUCCCUCAGGAUUCUUGAUGUUGAAGUUUCUUUUUUUUUCUCAAAAAAUGCUCUUUAUUCAUUCACAUAUAUUAUUGCAUUUAAUGCUCACUUCAUACCCAUGAACGGAGGAAGCAGAAAGAUAAUUCCUUCACAGACGAAGAGUUUGAGAUCCAUAAUAAAGUCCUUCUUCCCAAUUAACAGCGAGUGAACAAAAGAUCAAAAACCACCUCUGCUUUCAGCUCUCCAACUUCACCCUUCUUUCUUGAAGACAAUGGAGUGUUCAGCCCUCAUUUUCACAUAUGUUUAUUGCUAUUAAAAAUAUUUUUAGCAAACAAAUUUGAAGUAUAACCAAAAAUCCAUACUUCAAAAUGUAUAGAAAUUAUAUUUACAUAUAAUUUUUCACAUUAACUCAUUCAAAGUGUAUCUAUUAUAUUACAGGUGUUGGUUGAAACAUCUAGGCAUCUUAGCAUUUUAUCUUCAUAUCAUGCAAACUAAGUCCUAACCAGGACUUAGUUGUGUCCUGUCUGGUUAAAUUUCUAUUCCUAUUUUUUGCCUACUUUUAUUUUGUGAGAUAUGGCUAUUUUCUCUUUUUUUGACAAAAGAGAGCAGGUAAACAACAAAGACAUCUGUUAGAUUUCACUCAUUCAUCAAUAAUGUGAGUGAUUUCUUUUCUGAAUGUAAUUGUAAUUUGGAAUAGUGAAAGAAUAUGUUCUCAACUUUUACUCAGUUUUAUACUAUGCAUAAUGUAAUGGCCACAUACAUUAUACAGGUUUAGGAAUAAUCUGCAUUAUUAAUAUAUGCUACCUUAGUGUUAAGUCCAGACAUUCAAUUACACAGUAAAUUAAUCUCUGGUUUGUAGUGUUUGCCAGUUUCCGUGUGUAAAUAUUCCAACCAUAGCCAAGGUCAAAUUGCCAACAUAAUUUCACUGAACAUUAAUUUGGGAAGCAUUGCCAGUAGCCCACUAUUGUAUUCUUUUCCCACCAUUACAGGUAUAGUAGCCGCAAUUUUAAGAAUGUAGCUAAUAAACCAUAGUAGAAUGAUUAUAAAGUGAUAGGUUUUGCAUCUUUGUUUUGAAAAUCAUUUACUGGAUGAAUAGUUGACUUAAAUUUUGCCUAUUUAAAAUGUAAAUUUUGACAUACUUGUGUACAGCCCUCCAACCAGUUUCCUCCUGCCAUUGUUAAUUCAUCCUCAACAUUAAAAUGACUGAUGCAAGAGCAUACUCUACUUUUGUAAUAGCUAUUUUCAAAUGUAUAUAUAAAUGGAAUGACUGUGUUUGCCUCUUCCUGUAUCUUACAUCAUUUAUCGUGUUUAUGCACAUUUUUUUGUGUUUCAUGAUUUACUUAAUAGUUUCUAACAUUUAUAAUCCUAGGUAUCAUGUCUUUGAAUGCAUAAUUUCUUAGAAUGCAUUUCUAAAAUAAGAGAGCCCUGGGACUACCCUGGUGUCACAGUGGUUAAGAAUCCACCUGGGCUUCCCUGGUGGCGCAGUAGUUGAGAGUCCACCUGCCAAUGCAGGGGACACACGUUCGUGCCCUGGGCCGGGAAGAUUCCACAUGCCAUGGAGCGGCUGGGCCCGUGAGCCAUGGCUGCUGAGCCUGCGCGUCCGGAGCCUGUGCUCCGCAACAGGAGAGGCCAGAACAGUGAGAGGUCCGCGUACCGAAAAAAACAAAACAAAACAAAACAAAACAAAAAUGUCUACCAAGGACUUCCCUGUUGGUGUAGUGGUCAAGAGUCCACCUGCCAAUGCAGGGAACACGGGUUCAAGCCCUGGUCUGGGAACAUCCCACAUGUCGCGGAGCAACAAAUCCUGUGUGCCACAACUACUGAGCCUGCGCUCUAGAGCCCACGAGCCACAACUACUGGAGCCCGUGUGCCUAGAGCCCAUGCUCCACAACAAGAGAAGCUAUGGCAAUUAGAAACCUGCACACCUCAAUGAAGAGAAACCACUACAGUGAGAAGCCUGCACACCUCAAUGAAGAAUUGCCCCCACUUGCCGCAACUAGAGAAAGCCCAUGCACAGUAACGAAGACCCAACACAGCCAAAAAUAAAUAAAUUAAAUAACAAACAGAGACUGGAACUUCCCUGGUGGUCCAGUGGUUAAGACUCCAAUGCAGGGUGCACUGGUUCGAUCUCUGGUCAGGGGACUAAGAUCCUACAUGCUGUGUGGCAAGGCCAAAAAGAAAAAAAAAAGAAAAACAAACUGAGACCAUGAGACCACCUUACACUCAUUUGGAUGGCUAAUAUGUGAUAUAUAUAUUUGUUGUGAAAAAUGUAAGUUUUUAAUCUAAUGUAUUUUUUAAUUGAGCAUUUAUUUUAAAAAAACUGUAGAAUUGCUAAUGUUGCACAUCUGGUUAUACCUCAUAAUGACCUUGUCAGUAUUCUUUGGACAAAAUUAGAAUUUUGGACUGGAUUUAUAAUAUAUGUCAGUACCAACCAUUACAUAUGUUUAUUGUUUCUCCUCCCACCAUAUGUCUCCUCUAUUUCUGCAUUCCAAACAUGGUGGAUAUCUUCAGAUCUCUGAUAACUCUGUGAAGUUAUGUGUGGGGCUCUAGAGGUGUUUUUCGUCUACCUGGAACUCCUGGAUCUGAAUAUGCUUUAAAAAUUUGUUUUUAAAGUAACCAUAUAAGAUACAAGUACAUAAAGACACAAACUUUUAUGUCUAAAUUUCCUGUUUCUUUCCAUAGUACUUACUUAAUUAAAACUUUCUGAAGAGUUGCUACUAGGUAGUAAAGUAUAAGUAGAUUAAGUAAAUUCUGUAUAACUAGAUAAAAUUUUCAUUUUCUGCAUAUUCUAUUAACUCUAGAAAUGCAAGAAUUUAUCUGUUCUUAUUCAGCAAUAUAUCCCAAUUAAUGAAUGAAAAUUGAAAGCCCCUUAGCCAAUCACCUUUUCAUUGUAUUAUUAUUUGUACCUGACCAUCACCUAAGUUAAAAAAUAAAAUUAGGGACUUCCCUGUUGGUGCAGUGAUUAAGAAUCUGCUUGCCAAUGCAGGGGACACGGGUUCCAGCCCUGGUCCAGGAAGAUCCCACAUGCUGCGGAGCAAUUAAGCCCAUGCACCACAACUACUGAGCCUGUGCUCUAUAACCCACGAGCCACAACUACUGAGCCUGCGUACCACAACUACUGAGUCCCAUGCGUCUAGAGCCUGUUCUCUGCAACAAGAGAAGCCACCGCAAUGAGAAGCCCGAGCACCACGAUGAAGAGUAGCCGCCACUCGCCACAACUAGAGAAAGCCUGUGCACAGCAACGAAGACCCAAUGCAGAGAAAAAUAAAUAAAAAAUAAAAAAUAAAUAAAUUUAAAACAAAUUGAGGUCCAGAGCUCUCACGUGGCUGAACUAGGAAGGAGUAGAUCCCAAAAUUUCCCUUAAAAAAAUUAAUUGAUUCACUGCAGAAAUAAGAAGACAAAUGUUUAACAAUAUUAGGAAAAUAAUUUUUUUGGAGCAGAAAUCAUAGAAAAAUCACUGCUGAUGAGAACAAAGGGGCUGAAAGUUGGGAAAUCCGGAACUAGUAGCAGAGAUGUUUCCAUCAGCCACUGGUCUGGAUUUACAAUUAUAGUAACACAAAGACUCAAAAUGGAAGAGAGGCAGUAAAAAGAGAUGAAGAAACUCACCAGGAUAAGGAUGGUGCAUGUGGCUUUGGCCACGUGGGGAGGUCUGGGGUAAAGUCUGUUGCUGUGGAUGUAUUGGGCUCGCUGCUUGUAUCUGUGCAGGACAAAUAUCAUGCACCCACUAGUCCAGAUCUUGAAGCCCAAAUAACAUCCAGGGGAUAAAAUAUAAAUGCAUGUAAUAAGCCGAGAUUUCUGUCUGACGUGGCUGAGAAACCGUGUGUAAAAUUUUUUUUCACACAUUUGUGCUGUUUCUAGGACCAAUCACAUUCAUAGGAAUAUAGACAUUUACCAACAGCUGAAGGAACCAGAAAAGGAAAGUAAAGAAGCCAAUGCAUUUGGGGAGAUUGAAUUCUGAAGUCUAUCCACUAAGAGGUUCUGGGGCAAAACUUAAUGGCCAGGAAGCCACUCAGAAGGCAGGUAGUGCCGAGAGAAACCCCCGUGGCCACUCUGUAAAUACAAGACAAAUGUAUACCCAAGAUCAUAGAGGAAGUGUUUCAAUCCAAAAGCUGUCAUUGUCUGUGGGAUCCCUCUGGAGCUAAGAGCCAAGUUGUUGGGGAGGCUAAUAAAAUAGUCUUGUUCAGGCUUCAGAGACAACAAUAGGCUUUUGACUAAACAGACUCUGAAAGAGCUACACAUCAAGCUGCUAGACUACAUGCAGGUCAGCAGAAAUGGUGCUAGUCAGUCUUGGGAUCCAACAGAUAAAGAAGGGAGUAAGUCACAAAGCUUCCUGGGACUUGGGAAUCUGGCCAGUUCCUGGAAUUCAGCGAACAUUCUGAGACUUACAACUAAAGUAUCAAAAUAUUUGCGUUAAUAGUCAGAGCUGCGUACUUGCACGCAAGCUGAUGACUAUCAGCUUGCGGCUUGGCGUUAAAAGCAGGACUCCUUUGGGCAGCACUCUGAAGUCCCACCCGUGAGGUGGACUCACCGCCCGGGACCUUCCCAACUGGGACUCCAGAUUGCUGUUCAAGGGAAUUCCUAGAUGCCACUUGGAUCUGGAAGUUGGUGUCGGCCCAAUUCGGUGAUGUAUGCUCUGUUAUAUACCCUGUUAAUAUUAUUGCUCUCCCUCUAAUGAUUGUAUAUUGAAAUUUAUAUAGUCUGUUAAUAUUCUUAUUGCUUUCUCUCUAAUGAUUGUAUAUUGAAGUUAAGUUAAAUCACUUUCUAUUAAAGAUUUGAUUGAAGCUGUU